UCUUGGCACAGCGCGUAAGGGAUAGUAGUGGAUAUCCUUUUUCUGUUCUCUGAACAGGAAAAGAUAGGAACGGAUAGCCCGACCCGGG
rfam:Epilithonimonas sp. 36-9 SCNpilot_cont_300_bf_scaffold_507, whole genome shotgun sequence.